rnacentral:lncRNA from 1 species
CCCAAGACAAUUCUUCUUCUUCCACUGUGGCCCAGGGAAGCCAAAAGAUUGGAUACCCUGACCUAGUGUACCCAUUAGGUCCUCAAAAGGGCCUAUGAUAAAAAGAAAAUGUAAGAGGCACCAUUUUUCAGCAAAUGUCUCAUUUUCUAGACAUGUUCUCUGCAACGAGUUUAUCUUGGAAGGCACUUCUAGCAAUUCUUUUUCUCCAGGGGAAUCAGUUGACAGACAUGUGACUAAGAUUUUUCUUCUGAGGGGUAUUUGGUCACACCUGCUCUAAAGUCCUUCCAGGCUAUUGUUUGUGCUUGCUGGGCUGCUGUGGACGUGGAGAGAGACACUUAUAAUGCAGUAGUUGAAAACCUGCAAAUUGGAGUCAUGCUGUUUGGAUUUGAGGACCAGCUCUGCCUACAUUGGCUGUGGGGUCUUGAACAAGUCACUUAACUUCCCUGUCCAUCAAUGUUCUUAUCUGCAAAACAAAAUAAUGACAGUGUCUGGUAAUGCUGUUGGAGGAAAAAAUAAAAUAGUGCCUACAUAUGGA